ACGGGCAGUGGGGGGAGGAGGAAACCUGCUCACAUCGGGGGAGGUCUUGGUCCAGCCACACCUCUCCAGGCUCCUAGAAAAGGAAGCAAGGGGGUCAGACAGAAUGAAAGGGCUGGAACUAGCAUGAUCCAGAGAAAAGGCUUGACUGGGAUUCAGAGAGACUGAGGAGAAGAUGUUGCCUAGCAUGCCUGGCUGUCAUGGGACCAAAGGAAGCAGAAAAGCAAGCUAUAUGGUCACCCAGUGCCCAGAACAGUGACUGGUACAUAGAUGGUGCUCAAUACGUAUUUGUUGAAAGAAUGAAUAAAGAAGUUUUCAGGUUGCAUUCUACUUCCCAGCUCAGUGAGAAAGAACUGUGAUUGAUUAUCAAUGGUUGCCCUGAAUGCAGGAUGGAUGAAUGGUAGUUCACAGGCCUGAAAAAAUCAGUCUCCUUUCCCAGCUCCAGCAUUUUGUGGCUUUCAGCCCCACGGAGACAGCAGCUGCCUCAACAUAAGGAAGAAUUUUAAAAUAAUGUAUCUGUCCAAGAAAGGAACUGGCUGCCAUGUGAGGAGCAACAAUGAACCACUAUAAGGAACAAACAAAGCUUGUGGCCUGCGGUCCUUGGAAUAGAUGGACACAAACUGUGAAAAGACCAGGAGUCUGCUAACUAUCCUUCCCUCAGGCCUCUCUGGUUUAUACCUUCAAAC